rnacentral:misc_RNA from 1 species
AUAAUAUUGACUGUGUCUGUGAUGUACAUGUAUACCAGGGAACAGAUUCUUCAUUAUUCCACUGUUCUCAUUCUUCGUUAUCUUUCUAAGUCGUGAUGAUGUAAUGUUUCAAAAUAAUUAAGUUCAUGUUUAGUAUGAGUGUUUAACAUUGUUUGGAGUUUCAGUGUAGAGAUGAUACAUCAGUUAUUACACAAUGCAUGCUAUUCUACCACCUUUUAUUAGUAUCCCCAAGAUGGGGGAUGUCUGGAUAUUAUAUUUGGCAUAGCUACAUGUAUAUUUUGGUUGUGCUAUCUGAUCAAAUACAUCAUUUACUUUGUAAAUUUAACUCUUACAUUUUAAAGUAAAAAUUUUCCAGUACUUUAAUAGCUUAUUGUGAACAAUAAUAAAUCUUCAUUGAAGAAUUUUAACAUUAGAGCCAUUUGAUCACAAGCCUUAGUAACCUUAUUCCUAAGUAUCAUUGAGUAGAAAAUAAAACUAUGGGGAAGGAGGUAACUUGAAUGCAUUUACCAAUUUUGUUCACAAUGUGUGUAGUGGGUAAAUAACCAGUAAUAAGGCAAAUGUGUUCUUGCUGAACGUUUGAUGUACAUCUGUGAAAUGUUUUGCUGCACAGCAAUGCUGUAUGAAGUCCUGUAGCUUUAGAGGCCCUCCCACAUACAGCAUCACUGUCCCCAGUCAUACAGUGUGUUCUUUUCUCUACAAUUUAGUGUACUCUAGUUUACUACCAUGUGUAAGUACAUGCACAUUUAGUUACAACGGACUGCAGCAUGUUUAAAAUCAUUUUAUUAAAUUAGCAAUUUUCUCUUGUGUACUUGGCAGCAUCGAAGUCUAAAAAGUACAAUUCUUAAAAAUGAAAAUGCAUUGUUUGGAAAUUUUUCAUGCAUUCCUUUAUUUUGUAGUUGUUGAAUUUCUGUUUGUUAAAGAAUAUGAAGCUACACAGAUUUUCUGAUGUCUCAUUAAUAGCUUAAGUUUUUUUUUUAAAGAAAAUAUCUAUAUAUUAUUACAUGUAAUUUAUAUGUAUAUUGUAGCUUCUUAUGUCACUAGCCAAAAUUCUUUUGUUCAAAUGAUACAACAUAAAACAAAUAUUCCCAGUAUUACUUUGAGUUAAGCAGUGCUAUAGUACAUGAAUGUGGACAAUGUUUGCUGCUAUUAUAUAUGUACUUAUUAUUAGGUUGUUACUGUGCAAUAUUUGUUCUUAUACCAACAUAAUAUGUCUACUGGAAGAUACAUGUCACAUAUGCAAAUCAUGUGUCUGUUUAUUUAAUUAAUAAAGUGAAUGGAGAUG